UUUUUGAAAAAUAACGACGUCUCUGAGGCGCGAAAUCUGACAGCGAGAGGAACGGCCGGAUACAGGAGACGGGAAGAAACAAGCCGAUUAUGUUCGCGUUAAUUAAGUGGUUGGAAGAUGUAAAAUUCUCAAUUCUGCCAACUGAACAUAUACGAGAUUUUAAUGAGGAUGAAUAAUUAGCCGGCAUGGAGGAAACGGACCUUUAUUUCGUGGAGUGGCGACAAGAAGCCAAGGCGGGUGGCCAGUCUAAGAAGCCUCCAUCAUCAAGCUAGCAGAAAUCCUACCUCUCCUUCUGGCUACAGAGUACUUACCAAGCCCAUGAAAUCGAAUGCAGAUCUUCCUAAUGUGAGAUUUACAUAAAUAUGUCAAAGUCUCAACCUCAUGCUGCCCUCCCCCAUCCUCCUAAACCUGUGGAUACAAAUGCAGAUUUCCUUAAUGUUCAAUGGUGCGUGUUCUUCUAAUGGCCGCCUUCCCACUGGAGGUUUUGAUCCACAGCAAUUUAAAAGGUAAUCAGCUUUGAAAGUCAGUUCAAAUGGUUAGCUAAUAGUACUUUAAAAAGCCUACAACUCUGUCACCAGUUUCUUUACCAAAAAUUACCCAUAAAA